CCUACGGGAGGCAGCAGUCGAGAAUCAUUCACAAUGGGGGAAACCCUGAUGGUGCGACGCCGCGUGGGGGAAUGAAGGUCUUCGGAUUGUAAACCCCUGUCAUGUGGGAGCAAAUUAAAAAGAUAGUACCACAAGAGGAAGAGACGGCUAACUCUGUGCCAGCAGCCGCGGUAAUACAGAGGUCUCAAGCGUUGUUCGGAAUCACUGGGCGUAAGGCGUGCGUAGGCUGUUUCGUAAGUCGGGUGUGAAAGGCGCGGGCUCAACCCGCGGACGGCACAUGAUACUGCGAGACUAGAGUAAUGGAGGGGGAACCGGAAUUCUCGGUGUAGCAGUGAAAUGCGUAGAUAUCGAGAGGAACACUCGUGGCGAAGGCGGGUUCCUGGACAUUAACUGACGCUGAGGCACGAAGGCCAGGGGAGCGAAAGGGAUUAGAUACCCCUGUAGUC
rnacentral:rRNA from 1 species